GAUGAACGCUGGCGGUAUGCUUAACACAUGCAAGUCGAACGGACUCUUCGGAGUUAGUGGCGGACGGGUGAGUAACGCGUGAGAAUCUGGCUUUGGGUUCGGGACAACCACUGGAAACGGUGGCUAAUACCGGAUGUGCCGAGAGGUAAAAGAGAAAUUGCCUGAAGAUGAGCUCGCGUCUGAUUAGCUAGUUGGUGAGGUAAAGGCUCACCAAGGCAGCGAUCAGUAGCUGGUCUGAGAGGAUGACCAGCCACACUGGGACUGAGACACGGCCCAGACUCCUACGGGAGGCAGCAGUGGGGAAUUUUCCGCAAUGGGCGAAAGCCUGACGGAGCAAUACCGCGUGAGGGAAGAAGGCUCUUGGGCUGUAAACCUCUUUUCUUAGGGAAGAACAAAAGGACGGGACCGAAGGAAGCAGCAUCGGCUAACUCCGU
rnacentral:rRNA from 1 species